UACGAAGGGGGCUAGCGUUGUUCGGAAUCACUGGGCGUAAAGCGUACGUAGGCGGCUAUUCAAGUCAGAGGUGAAAGCCCAGGGCUCAACCUUGGAACUGCCUUUGAGACUGGAUAGCUUGAGCACGGAAGAGGUAAGUGGAAUUCCGAGUGUAGAGGUGAAAUUCGUAGAUAUUCGGAGGAACACCCGUGGCGAAGGCGGCUUACUGGGCCGUUGCUGACGCUGAGGUACGAAAGCGUGGGGAUCAAACAGG
rnacentral:rRNA from 1 species